AUCUCCUUCCUUGGUUGUCAGAAAGGAUUUCAUAUAAGGGAGGAUGUUGAUGUAGAAGAUUUGGCUUCAUCAGAAUCUGCAAUUUUGACUGUUUGAUCCAGCUACAGAACAGUCUUUUUAAAGAACAUGGGCUACCUCUCACAAAACAUCCCUGGAGAUCACCUCAGUGGCCUGAAUUAGUCCACGUUAAAAGCACACACAUACACACAUAAGAGCUCUUUAGUGUUCCUAAGUGCGUCAUUGUUUCUAAAUAAGAGCUCACUCUGCAAGAAAAAAGCAGGCUAUUAUUUUAUUAAUAAAUGUUUCUGAAAGACUCACAAA